rnacentral:rRNA from 1 species
UGAACGCUGGCGGCGUGCUAAUACAUGCAAGUCGAACGGAGUUAGAUGAAACCUAGUGAUCUAAACUAGUGGCGGACGGGUGAGUAACGCGUGGGUAACCGUGCCCUGUACAGGGGGAGUAACGGUUGGAAACGACCGCUAAAACCGCAUAACAUCGGAAUACCGCAUGAUGUUCCGGUCAAAUAUUCAUAGGUACAGGGAUGGGCCCCGCGUCUGAUUAGCUAGUUGGCGAGGUAACGGCCCACCAAGGCGACGAUCAGUAGCCGUACUGAGAGGUAGAACGGCCACAUUGGGACUGAGACACGGCCCAAACUCCUACGGGAGGCAGCAGUCGGGAAUAUUGCGCAAUGGAGGAAACUCUUGACGCAGUGACGCCGCGUGCAGGAAGAAGGUUUUCGGAUUGUAAACUGCUUUAGACAGGGAAGAAAAAAGACAGUACCUGUAGAAUAAGCUCCGGCUAACUACGUGCCAGCCGCGGC